rnacentral:rRNA from 1 species
UACGUAGGGACCAAGCGUUGUUCGGAUUUACUGGGCGUAAAGGGCGCGUAGGCGGCUUAACAAGUCACUUGUGAAAUCUCCGGGCUUAACUCGGAACGGCCAAGUGAAACUGUCAAGCUAGAGUGCAGAAGGGGCAAUCGGAAUUCUUGGUGUAGCGGUGAAAUGACGGUAGAUAUCGAGAGGAACACCUGCGGCGAAGGCGGGUUGCUGGGCUGAUACUGACGCUGAGGCGCGAAAGCUAGGGGGAGCGAACGGG